UCUUCUUUUGGACCACGUGUUCGGUUGGAUCAGGAAAACCAUGGUGGAAGUCAAAGACUCUACGUCCAACUCACAGGCCAUACAGAGGCAGUUCCAAUUAUUCAAAUUAUGGUGGCGCUGGUGUAGGCCGUUUCCAACCAUACCCACAGAGAGGCGGGCGACCUUUUCGAAGGGGUCUCUCAGGUGGCAGUUUUCGAGGACGAGGUGGAUACGGCCAAUCCCCAAGUGGAAAAUAGAUCGAUGACUUCCAAGACAUCGAGACAUCCUGACAUUACCACACAAUGGACAAGUUCACCCGUUGUCAAAGAGACUCGACUUGGUCGCGGCAGUUGUAUCGGGGAGGCCCUCCGUUGUAGAGGACUUUCAUCAGAGACUACAACCAUCAUCUUGGCUGCCUGGAGAAGAGGAACUCUCAAACAGUAUGAUUCUGCAUGGCGGAAGUGGAUGUCUUGGUGUAUGUGCAGGGAAACUUCUCCCUUUAACUCAUCUGAAGUAACUGUACUUCAAUACUUAGAGCAUUUAAGGUCUAUUAACAAGUCAUACUCUGUGUUGAACACUCAUAAAUCAAUGUUAAUGCAAACAUUACCCUUUUUUGGAAAUAAGUGGUGUAAAGACUGUUUUUUAAUUCAGAAAUUUAUGAAGGGAGUUUUUCAUUCUCGUCCUCCAGUACCUAGAUACCAGUUUGUGUGGGAUGUUACUCUUGUAUUGAAUUUUUUAAAGUCUUUGAAUCCAUUGUGUAAUUUAUCAUUAAAAAUGUUAACAUUUAAAGUGGUUGCACUUUUGGCAUUAGGAAAUGCACCUAGAGCUCAAACUUUGAUUUCUAUGGAUUUGUCUUGUAUGAAAAAAGAAGGGGCUGUGCUUAUUUGUGUGUUUCCUAAUUUAUUGAAAACUACCAAGUUAGGUAGACCUUAUGUUAUGAAGAUUGAACAUUUUAAGGAUGAAAAAUUAUGCAUUUUGCAUUCUUUGUUGUUUUAUAUU